GAUGUAUACGGGCUGACGCCUGCCCAGUGCUGGAAGGUUAAGGGGAAUUGUUAGCGCAAGCGAAGCAAGGAACUUAAGCCCCAGUGAACGGCGGCCGUAACUAUAACGGUCCUAAGGUAGCGAAAUUCCUUGUCGGGUAAGUUCCGACCCGCACGAAUGGCGUAACGACUUGGGCACUGUCUCAACAAUGUACCCGGCGAAAUUGUAGUAUGAGUGAAGAUGCUCAUUACCCGCGAUAGGACGGAAAGACCCCGUAGAGCUUUACUGCAACUUGGCAUUGGAUUUUGGUAUUAGAUGUACAGGAUAGGUGGGAGACUGAGAAGCGAUGACGCCAGUUGUCGCAGAGUCACUGUUGGGAUACCACCCUUCUAAUACUAGGAUUCUAACUUAAGGCCGUGAACCGGCUUAAGGACAGUACCAGGUGGGCAGUUUGACUGGGGCGGUCGCCUCCGAAAGAGUAACGGAGGCGCCCAAAGGUUUCCUCAGAAUGGUCGGAAAUCAUUCAUUAGAGUGCAAAUGCAUAAGGGAGCUUGACUGCGAGAGAGACAUCUCGAGCAGGGACGAAAGUCGGGAUUAGUGAUCCGGCGGUAUGAGAGUGGAAUUGCCGUCGCUCAACGGAUAAAAGCUACCUCGGGGAUAACAGGCUUAUCUCCCCCAAGAGUCCACAUCGACGGGGAGGUUUGGCACCUCGAUGUCGGCUCGUCGCAUCCUGGGGCUGAAGCAGGUCCCAAGGGUUUGGC
rnacentral:ncRNA from 2 species